GGUGAAAGUGGUGUAUCACUUUCAUCUAAUUGUUCAGAUUCUUCUUCUCGUACUUCUCUGUCUUCUUUCUCUUUUGCCCUAUCACUUUGUACGACUCCACCAUUUUCCAUCCUCUCUCCUUUUUAUUUUUACUUUUUGAAUGGUUAGAAUGGUUUUCUGAGCUCUGAAGAUGAUAUAACAGUUAUGAACAUGGUAACAACGAUAUGGUAUAAAAAAUUAAGCUCCCAACAAAAGGUAAAAGGGAUUAAAAAUAAAUUAUGGGCUCACAAGAAAAGCUUACUGGAAUAAUUACUGGCUGAUAUUGGUAUACUAACAUGCAGAUAUAUCCAAAUAUGUACAUGUAUCUUGACAUAAACACGUAUUUAAGCAUGUAUAGAAAUAUGCACAUGUUUUUAUCUGCAGAGAGAAGAUUAUUAAGCUAAAGGCUUACCCUGCACCGAUGGUUUAGGGGUGGGCAUGUCCAGUUUAAGAGAACCAGACUGAACCAAUGGUUUCAUACACAGCACAGGAACCAGACCGGUGGGUUUCGGUUCAGUUCCAUUAAUGGUUAAAGGUAUGUUUAAACCUUUAACAAUUAAAUCUGAUUUUGACGUGUUAAGACAGAUCUUACUGAACAAUGAAACGUAUGAGUGAAGCAAAAGAGGGUCUUAAAUCCCUGGAAAUUAAUAGUGUCAAAUUAAUUUUCAACAGUAGAAAGCUGUGCAGAGCUUAAAAACUACAAGAAAGAAAAUGUACUCUCUCCACAAUUAAAAAACUAACAGAAACAAAAACAAAAAAACCCAAUACAAAGGUGCUCCUCUGUAUGAAAAAGUGACUGUCCGAGUAAAUAUAAAAGACAACCUUUAAACUGAAAGUAUCAUGUUCCUAAAUUAAAGGUGCAAACACCUACUUAGCAAAUUAAUAAUAUGUAAAUUGACCCCAGCAAGUCUCCUGUUUAACCCACACGCGGAACCUAUGACAUCAAAAUGGAGUGAUGAAGUAUGGAAUUCUUUCUUCUCUCUCAAAGAAGAAACAAAAUCAGAGGAUGCCAAAACCUUUUAAAAUAUGGAAUGAAGAAAAACUAAACAAAAAUGUCAAGAAAAAACCUUUUAAAAUAUGGAAUGAAGAAAAACUAAACAAAAAUGUCAAGAACAAUGAUGAAUUGUGAUAGCCUAAUAUCAAGCUCAAUUACAUCCUGGAACUUGAAAGCACAAAGAACACUACAACAGCGCUGCUUCACUUGCUUAAAUUGACAAAAGGAAUUAAACAAAACAAUAAACUUCAUCAUUCAUCCAGCAGACUUCAAUAGAAGCCUGUAUCUCAAUUCCUCGUUCAAUAAAUGUAAAUAUGUUAAUAUGACUGAAGUACUGAACUUCAAAAUCAAGAAAAUCUAUAUUUACACUGAAAAAAUCAGCAUACUGAAAGAUUAACUGAAUCUACAUCAACCUCAAAUACCAUGAGAUUAAUGAUACCAAUUGAAAAUAUAAAUUAAAAACAAAUAUCAUCCAACGAGCAUUAACUGGAAAUUAAUGAACUAAUCAGUAAGCCUUAACCAAAUAAUAAUAAUAAUAAUAAUAAAACCUAAUCCAGCUGUCCAGCCCGAAAUUGGAAGGAAAGCAUUAAGUGUCAAAACUUUAUGAAUGUAAAAACCAGGGAAAAAACGUAACUUUUUCGGACUAGCGAAAAAUUGUCCAAUAAAAUUGAUAAAUAGAUAAAGCUCUUAAUGUUUUACCUGGUUGAAUAAAAUAUAGUGUGGAAAAACAGAUUCUUGGACGGAUUUGGAUAGAAAUAUCGAACAUCAUCAAAUAUAAUGUUUAGCUCAAACGUCAAAGAAGCGUCUCCUGUAUUUUAUAUGAAAUUGGGUUGGCGAGAAGUAUGAGAAGGGGAAUUUUAAACUUUGAAGCUCAACAGCAUGGAUUCGUCAAAUUCUGAUUUUGUAUUAGGGUUUAUGAACAUUUACUCAACAAUAGCGUGGGAUGGUGCAAGCCAAAAAAUAAAUUAUAAUAACAAUAAACCUUUUUUGGUUAAAGCCAGA
rnacentral:lncRNA from 1 species